rnacentral:rRNA from 1 species
UACGGGGGGAGCAAGCGUUGUUCGGAUUUACUGGGCGUAAAGGGCGCGUAGGCGGUCAGCACAAGUCAGUUGUGAAAUCUCCGGGCUUAACUCGGAAAGGUCAACUGAUACUGUGCGACUAGAGUGCAGAAGGGGCAACUGGAAUUCUCGGUGUAGCGGUGAAAUGCGUAGAUAUCGAGAGGAACACCUGCGGCGAAGGCGGGUUGCUGGGCUGACACUGACGCUGAGACACGAAAGCCAGGGGAGCGAACGGG